GGACUACCAGGGUAUCUAAUCCUGUUUGCUCCCCUAGCUUUCGUGCCUCAGUGUCAGGAGUCGUCCAGAGACUCGCCUUCGCCACUGGUGUUCCUCUCGAUAUCUACGCAUUUCACUGCUACACCGAGAAUUCCAGUCUCCCCUCCGACCCUCCAGCUGGGAAGUAUUCAAUGCCAUUUCGGAGUUAAGCUCCGAGCUUUCACAUCAAACUUUCCCAGCCACCUACGCACCCUUUACGCCCAGUGAAUCCGAACAACGCUUGGGACCUCUGUAUUACCGCGGCUGCUGGCAC
rnacentral:rRNA from 2 species